AAUGGAUUAGAAAAUGGAUUAGAAAAUGGAUCGGAAAAUGGAUUAGAAAAUGGAUUAGAAAAUGGAUUAGAAAAUGGAUCGGAAAAUGGAUUAGAAAAUGAAUUAGAAAAUGGAUUAGAAAAUGGAUCGGAAAAUGGAUCGGAAAAUGGAUCGGAAAAUGGAUUAGAAAAUGGAUUAGAAAAUGGAUCGGAAAAUAGAUCGGAAAAUGGAUUAGAAAAUGGAUUAGAAAAUGGAUCGGAAAAUGGAUCGGAAAAUGGAUCGGAAAAUGGAUCGGAAAAUGGAUUAGAAAAUGGAUUAGAAAAUGAAUUAGAAAAUGGAUUAGAAAAUGGAUUAGAAAAUGGAUCGGAAAAUGGAUUAGAAAAUGGAUUAGAAAAUGAAUUAGAAAAUGGAUUAGAAAAUGGAUUAGAAAAUGGAUCGGAAAAUGGAUUAGAAAAUGAAUUAGAAAAUGGAUUAGAAAAUGGAUUAGAAAAUAGAUCGGAAAAUGGAUCGACUAACAAAUGGGAUAACAAAUAUAAAAAUGAGUAUCUUAAAAAAUUAGAAAAAGAAUCAGGUGACAGACCUAAUUAUAUUUUACCAAAUAUAGACGGAAAUAACAUAAUAAAACUAAAUUUAAGAAUAAAAAAAAUAUAUUUCGUAAAACAUAAAAAUAUUAAAUGUGUUAUAACUAACAGUUCAGGUGUAGUUGUACAUUCAUUUAUUUAUAAUAAAAAUCCAAUCAAUUUAAAUGAAGAAGAUAAAUUUUUUAAAUUUUUUAAUAAAAAUAAAAUAAAUAAUAAUUCUUUUAAUCACGAUAACAUGACCAUUUUACUUAAAGAGAUAAAUAAAAUUUGGUUGAAUAAAAUUAAUUUCGACUUAUUUUUUAAUGCACCAAUCAUCAAUGGGGAGCCCGAUAUAUCACCAUCCACAUUUUUUAGGCUAAGUUUUUAUGGUGUGGAUACAGUGGAAUCAAAGCAAAACGAAGAUGAUGAAGAGCAAAAAAACGAACGAAUAAACAAAAAGACAGAUAUAAAUACAAAAAAUAAAAAAACAAAAUUAAUUAAAAACAUGUUAGAUACCAUAAAUAAAUUUCCUAAAACAAAUAAUUUAACUACUACUAACAAAAAAAAAUCAACGUAUAUAAAUAAAAGUGUACCCCACCAAAAUUCAUCAAGUAAAAAUAAAUUAAAUGAUGUGGGUAACACAAAAACAGUAACAAACAAAUCGAUAGAAAGAAACACAUAUAUUGGUUAUAGCAUCAUACACAUUAAGCAAUUAUAUGAAAUUCAAGAAGAAGGAGGAAUACAUUUAAACAUUUGUGAAAAACACAACGAAGAUAUAGAGUUUGUUAAAGAGUAUAAUAAAGAAGAAGUUGUAUAUAUUUUGGAUAAUAAACAAAUUGAAAAUGAUAGUAUUAAUAAACUAAAUGAAAAAAAUGGUUUUAAUAAUUUAAGUUAUGCUGAUAAAGUAGGUAUAAUUUUUAAAAAUUUAUUUCAUAAUAGUUUGAACCCUACAUCCAAAAAAAUAUUUUUUAAAUAUUCAUUUGAAAAAGGAAAUAAUAAUUUUAUAAAAAAACCAUGUUUAAAUAAGUGUACCACCACAAGUACCACCACAAGUACCACCACAAGUA
ensembl:lncRNA